UACGAGUGCUUCGAGCGUUAUCCGGAAUCAUUGGGCGUAAAGGGUGUGUAGGUGGUUGUGUUAGUCUCGCGUGAAAUCUUUCGGCUCAACCGAGAGUCUGCGUGGGAAACGGCACGACUAGAGGAAGGGAGAGGUUUCUGGAACUCAUAGUGUAGCGGUGAAAUGCGUUGAUAUUAUGGGGAACACCAAAAGCGAAGGCAAGAAACUGGCCCGCUCCUGACACUGAAACACGAAAGCGUGGGUCGCGAAUGGG
rnacentral:rRNA from 1 species